GUGCGGGGCUGGGUGGGCCAGUGUGCGUCUAGCAGUUUGGGGUUUGUAAACAGUGCCCUUGUGUUGGACUGAAUGGGGCCACUCCUGCUGCACUGUGUCUCAUUGCCUCCGACCGGCCCCUCACUCUGUGGACUGCCCCCCAUCACAUGCCCUAUUUCCCCAAUGGGGACCCACAAAUAUGUUUGGCACUGGGCCCACAAAAAGUUAAUCCGGCCCUGCAGGGACCAAAGCAGACU